ACUCCUACGGGAGGCAGCAGUGGGGAAUUUUGGACAAUGGGCGAAAGCCUGAUCCAGCAAUGCCGCGUGUGUGAAGAAGGCCUUCGGGUUGUAAAGCACUUUUGUCCGGAAAGAAAUCCUUGGUUCUAAUAUCACCCGGGGGAUGACGUACCGG
rnacentral:rRNA from 1 species